rnacentral:rRNA from 1 species
UACAGAGGUCCCGAGCGUUGUUCGGAUUCACUGGGCGUAAAGGGCGCGUAGGCGGCGUAACAAGUCACUUGUGAAAUCUCCGGGCUUAACUCGGAGCGGUCAAGUGAUACUGUUGUGCUAGAGUGCGGAAGGGGCUACUGGAAUUCUCGGUGUAGCGGUGAAAUGCGUAGAUAUCGUAAGGAAGACCAGUGGCGAAGGCGGGUCUCUGGACAGUUCCUGACGCUGAGGCACGAAGGCCAGGGGAGCAAACGGG